rnacentral:lncRNA from 1 species
GGAGGAGGACGACGUCCCUCCCGAGGAGAAGAGGCUGCGCCUGGGGCUGGAGGGGGGAAGCGCACAGCCCGAGGACUGCGAGGACGGGGAGGACGCGCCGCGGCCGGGCAGGGAGGAGACCGGCACCCAGACAGGUGGCGACGGCAGAGGAGUGCAGCGGCUCACAUUUGUAAUCCCAGCACUUUGGGAGGCCGAGGCUGCUGGAUCACCUAAGGUCAGGAGUUCGAGACCAGCCUGGCCAACACGGCGAAACUGUCUCUACUAAAAAUACAGAAAUUAGCCAGGUGUGAUGGCACACACCUGUAAUCCCAGCUACUUGGGAGGCUGAGGCAGGAGAAUCAUUUGAACUUGGGAGACAGAGGUUGCAGUCAGCCGAGAUCGCACCACUGCACUUCAGCCAGCCUGGGUGACAGGGCGAGACUCUCUUUCAAAAAUAAAUAAAUAAAAUAGAA